rnacentral:rRNA from 1 species
GAUGAACGCUGGCGGCGUGCCUAACACAUGCAAGUCGAGCGAACGGACGAGAAUCUUGUUUCUCUGAUGUUAGCGGCGGGCGUGGGAGUAACACGUGGAUAACCUACUUAUUAGACUGGGAUAACCUCGGGAAUCCGGAGCUAAUACGGGAUAAUAUUCUGAAUCGCAUGGUUCAUUAGUAAAAGACGGUCGUGCUGUCACUACUAGAUGGAUCUGCGCUUCAUUGGCUAGUUGUUAAUGUUACGGCGUACCACGGCAACGAGGCCUAGCCGACCUGAGAGGGGGAUCGGCGACACUGGAAGUGGGACGCGGACCGUACUACUGCGGGAGGGAGCAGUCGCGGAUGUUCAGCAGUGGGCGAAAGCCUGACGGAGCAACGCGGCGUGAGAGAUGGAGGUCUCGGGGUCGUGAAACUCUGUUGUUCGGGGAGAACAUAUGUGUAAGUGAAUGUGCAGAAAUUGACGGUACUGAAUCAGAAAGCCCCGGCUAACUACGUG